rnacentral:rRNA from 1 species
UACGUAGGGUCCGAGCGUUGUCCGGAAUUACUGGGCGUAAAGAGCUCGUAGGUGGUUUGUCGCGUUGUUCGUGAAAACUCACAGCUCAACUGUGGGCGUGCGGGCGAUACGGGCAGACUGGAGUACUGCAGGGGAGACUGGAAUUCCUGGUGUAGCGGUGGAAUGCGCAGAUAUCAGGAGGAACACCGGUGGCGAAGGCGGGUCUCUGGGCAUCUCCUGACGCUGAGGCGCGAAAGCGUGGGGAGCAAACGGG